rnacentral:rRNA from 2 species
UGCAAGUCGAGCGAAUCGAUGGGAGCUUGCUCCCUGAGAUUAGCGGCGGACGGGUGAGUAACACGUGGGCAACCUGCCUAUAAGACUGGGAUAACUUCGGGAAACCGGAGCUAAUACCGGAUACGUUCUUUUCUCGCAUGAGAGAAGAUGGAAAGACGGUUUCGGCUGUCACUUAUAGAUGGGCCCGCGGCGCAUUAGCUAGUUGGUGAGGUAAUGGCUCACCAAGGCGACGAUGCGUAGCCGACCUGAGAGGGUGAUCGGCCACACUGGGACUGAGACACGGCCCAGACUCCUACGGGAGGCAGCAGUAGGGAAUCUUCCGCAAUGGACGAAAGUCUGACGGAGCAACGCCGCGUGAACGAAGAAGGCCUUCGGGUCGUAAAGUUCUGUUGUUAGGGAAGAACAAGUACCAGAGUAACUGCU